GGGCCCGCACAAGCAGUGGAGCAUGUGGUUUAAUUCGAUGAUACGCGAGGAACCUUACCAGGGCUUAAAUGUAGUCUGACAGGGGUGGAAACACCCCCUCCUUCGGGCAGAUUACAAGGUGCUGCAUGGUUGUCGUCAGCUCGUGCCGUGAGGUGUCAGGUUAAGUCCUAUAACGAGCGCAACCCCUGCCGUUAGUUGCCAGCAUGUAAUGAUGGGAACUCUAACGGGACUGCCGGUGCAAACCGCGAGGAAGGUGGGGAUGACGUCAAAUCAUCACGGCCCUUACGUCCUGGGCUACACACGUGCUACAAUGGCCGGUACAGAGGGCAGCCACACCGCAAGGUGGAGCGAAUCCUUAAAACCGAUCGUAGUCCGGAUUGUUGUCUGCAACUCGACAGCAUG
rnacentral:rRNA from 1 species